CGGCCCAAGCCUGCUUCCGCAUCCGUCCCGGUGCGGAUUGCUCACGCCGGCGAACUCCUCGAGCCGCCGCUCCCGGCUCAGCUCCCCGUUCCCCCGCCGCGGGUUCGCCUCUGCGGAUUCUUCGGUGCCGCAACCUAUCCUGCUUUGCCCGCACAGCCGCCGCCGCCACCGGCGACGGCCCCUUCCUGGCCCUCGCCGUCUUCGCGCACGGCGGCAGGUUCUGCUAUACUCCCCGCGUUGAGCGGAGUCCGCGCAGGAGUCUUUGGAUCACAGGGUGACGGGAAGGCACAGGAGCGACGUCGACGUCGUUCCUUCUUCAAAGGUUUCUAAGAGGACAAUUGAUGUGGGAUUUUUAUUUCUACUCGAGGACCAAAGCAAGGUCGAAGGAAUAACAUAGAAGAAGCUCAAAGCUUAGUCUUUCGUUUUCUU